rnacentral:lncRNA from 10 species
AUGGCUAAUUUUUUUAUUUUUAGUAGAGAUGGGGUUUCACCAUGUUGGCCAGGCUGGUCUCGAACUCCUGGGCUCAAGUGAUCUGACUGCCUCAGCCUCCCAAAGUGGUGCUAUUACAGGUGUGAGCCACCUCGCCUGACCUAAAAACACUUUUCAGCUCCAAUUUUAAACUUAAAAUUUUUCUUAUUUUAAAAACAACAUAUGCAUGUAUUAUCAAAUACAGGAAAAUAUGAAGAGACAGAAGUACUUACUGAUCAUAAUCCUACCACCAGAGACAUCACUAUGAAUAUGUUUGUACAUUUUUUUCCUGUGCAUUCUAAAACAUAGUUAAGAUUAUGCUAAAUAUACAGUUCUCAUGCUCUUUUAUGUCAGAAGUGUUUUCCCAUGACAUUUUAAACCCCAUAGACAUAAUUUUCUAAUGGCUACAUACUAUUCUAUCUAACCAUUUCCAGAGGUUGGAUAUUUAUCCAGCUUCUGAGACUUCCUGUUAUAAAACAACACUUUGAUGAACAUCUUGGUACAUAAAUCUUUUGCAUGUGACUACUUCCUUAGGACAGAUUCCUAGAAGUGAAAUUCUGGGUCAAAGAGUAGUAAUAUUUUAAAGGCUGUUUAUGCAUACUGACAAGCUGCUUCCUGGCAAUUUGUCCAAACUUUUACUCUGACUAGCAUUGUAUGGGAGCUUCCCUGAGUGAAUGCUGCCUUUGAAGUGGGGUCAGAGACUGAGGACCAAGGGGCACAGAGAAAGAAGAGUGUGGUCCUCGAUGGGAGGACCCAUCACAAACCGUCUUGCACAGUGUAAACCCUGGAGAGGGGCUGAAGAAACCACUGCAGCCCGGGGCCGCCCAUUCUACCUGGCCCAUGGUAGGCACUCAAGAAAUGGUUUGCUACGUGAAUAAACAAAUCCACAAACAUAUAUUUCUGAAUUCCUAUCAUGCGUCAAACACAAGAGAUAGGGAGAGAGGAGGAAAAGAAAAGCAAGGGAUCAUGGGAUAAAAGGGGACAGUGGCAGUGGGGUGGACAGAAGUCAGAACUAAAUUUACCUCAUGCUUUAAUUCGGCGAGUUUUCUUAGAAUAGUCUGACCAUUGCUUACGUUGAGGGUCUAUAGUCCUCCCUUCCCCACAAGACAAAGUCCAACCUAAUUCAGCACCAAGAUCCAAGCAGCUUGGAAGAUACAGGAGGGAAAAUUCUGGUGUAGAUUAAGUGCCACCCCCCAGCAAUGGCCAGGACACAGCAGCAAUGUUACCUAAGAAAGCAACUGCGCCUCUUGCUGAUCAGCUAGACAUGAGGGCAGUGUCCUACCUCAGCGGUUUGCAGCGGACAUGCUGUCAGGCCAUUGGGAUAGUUCCCAUAAGCCACUCCUGGUUGUCACCACUAUUCCAAGUGGGCAGGAGCAGCCUUAUUGACUGAGAUGGGCGGCUAUGGACACACAUGGGUGUACGCAUGUGAUGGAAAUGGGGGCUUGGGGCCCUGAGGGUCCACAGGGGCUGCGUGGUCAGGGAGGGUGGGCAUGGCAUCACAGGCACCCCAGGGGAGAAGCUGGCUUUCUUCCCAUACUUUUGGCACUGUUUUCUGUUUUGUUUGCCUUCAAAGAGCAAGUGAUGGCUGGACAGCAAAGAGGAGUGGAGGCCGGGAGAAUGGGCAGCUAGCCCAGCGCUCUCCAAUAUCUGGGAGUCGACCGCACUCCUGCACUCCCUGUCAUCCCUGCUAAUGGUAUUACCAUUGCUCCAAUCUUACAGAUGAGGAAACUCAGGCAUGGAGAGGUUGAGCGACUUGCCCAAAUUCAUGCAGUUAGGACCUGGCAGAGCUGCGCUUUGAACCCAGGCUGCCUGGCUCUAGAGUGUGUGCACGAAACUUCACUGCCAUAUGAACAAAACUGCAGGACAUAUGUUCUCAAAGCAAAUAAGCCUCCCAGAGAGGCUUUUCCUGAUGGCUUCAAGGACCUGCCCUAGCCUGGUCUGACUUCCCAGAGGGGAUCCAGUCCCAACAUUGGCCCUAUCUUUAGACCACAUUUCCAUCCCAUUCUCAGUGAAAACCCUGAGUCAUGACAGAAGACAACCAAUGCUGGAGAGAGGAGGUUUCAGGUAAUGCCUGUUUUAGGCAUCCUCUCCUUUAAGAAAAAUUUUUAUAUCAAGGCACCUCAACAUAAUAAUACCUUUAUUGCAUAUAGGUAGAAUAUAAAACUGACUUGUAAGACCACUCUGUGUGUGUGUGUGUGUGUGUGUGUGUGUGUGUUCUCUAGCUAGCCUGCAGGGACGGGACUCAGUUCCUCAGCAGCCCAGUGCCUGGCACAACAGGCAUUGAAUUAGAAGUGCCAGACAUUUUCAAACUUUAAGGUAUAAUUUGUUUGGACACUUUGGCUGGGCAUUUUGAUAAAACAUCCCUAGUUAAAAGAUGGCAACCAACAGGCAUCAAACCAAAACCACCCUCAAAGAGCAAAAUAUAAGGCCUUUGUAACAAGAGUCACAGAGUUAUGGCUGGCCGCGGUGGCUCAUGCCUGUAAUCCUAGCACUUCGGGCCGUCUCUAUUAAAAAC